rnacentral:rRNA from 1 species
UACACUCCUGCGGGAGGCAGCAGUGGGGAAUUUUGGACAAUGGGCGAAAGCCUGAUCCAGCAAUGCCGCGUGAGUGAAGAAGGCCUUCGGGUUGUAAAGCUCUUUUGUCAGGGAAGAAACGGUGAGAGCUAAUAUCUCUUGCUAAUGACGGUACCUGAAGAAUAAGCACCGGCUAACUACGUGCCAGCAGCCGCGGUAAUACGUAGGGUGCAAGCGUUAAUCGGAAUUACUGGGCGUAAAGCGUGCGCAGGCGGUUUUGUAAGUCUGAUGUGAAAUCCCCGGGCUCAACCUGGGAAUUGCAUUGGAGACUGCAAGGCUAGAAUCUGGCAGAGGGGGGUAGAAUUCCACGUGUAGCAGUGAAAUGCGUAGAUAUGUGGAGGAACACCGAUGGCGAAGGCAGCCCCCUGGGUCAAGAUUGACGCUCAUGCACGAAAGCGUGGGGAGCAAACAGGAUUAGAAACCCCGGUAGUCCCAUGA